rnacentral:lncRNA from 1 species
AUGGACGGGAAAGGAAGAGAGGAAAGGGAAAGGAGAGGGGUGGAAAAAGACGAUGGGGAAGAAGGGAAGGAGAGGGAGGAGAAAGGCGGGGGGGGAAGGAAGGGGGAGACAUUUUUAUUUGCGGUGCUUUCAGCAGUGCCCUGUACAACGAUGGGGCCGCUCUCUGGAUGUGUUUACAACUCGCCGAGCAGGCUCUGUACCCUGGCGGCACCACACGAACCCCGCAAUGGCGGUGGGCCCCGAGCAGUUCCACUCUGCGGCGACUGGAGCGUGAGGGCGAAGGGCCGGCCCCGGCCCAGCCCCAGCGGGCUCCGUGCGGGAGGAGCCGCGCCCGCGCCCCCGCCCGGCCCCUCACCCGUCCGCCACGCUCUCGGCAGGGUGCUCGGCAUCGCUGGACGUGGCCAGGACGAGAGCGGCCCCCGCCGAGCUCCGGCACCAGUCGGCGGCUUUCAUCGCGCACGGCGGAGCUGCCGCUACCGGGCAACGGCGGCGGCCCCCCCGCACGGCCGCUCCCGGUGCGGGAGGUGCGGGAACCCGGGGCCCUCCCCUGGCUGGGCGGGACCCGCCGCUCCCGCCGUGCCCCGCUCCGCCCCGCCCGCUCCGCCCCGCCCCCCGCGGCCCCGCCCGCCGCCCGCGGGCGCUGCGGGACGGGCGGCGGGAGCGCGGAGCCCCGGCCCGGCUGACGGCGCGGCCCCUCCCGGGGCAGGUAGGUGGGGGCCGGGAGGAUGGGGGAACGAGCGGGGCUCUGGCCUCCCUGCCCGGGCGGGGCGAGGACCCUUCCCCCUGUGCCCCUUCCCCUUAUUCCGCCUCCCCUUGUGCCCCUUCCCCUGGCGCCCCUCGGAGCUGUGCCCGCUCACGGCGCGCUCACCCCCGGGCACAGUCCGAUCCCUUCACGGACCCUUCCCAGCGUGGCCCCCGACCCCGCUCCGGGCUGGACUCGAUCCCUUUGCCCCCGCCUCCCCAUCCCUUCGGUACCCCCGGCCCUCCUCGGGCAGGGCCCGAUCUUCUCCCACCCCUCAGGACCCGGUCCCCAGCCCCGCAGGGCAGGAGCUGAGAGGAUCCCGUCCCUCUGCUGCCCCUCGCCAUCGCAGCUCUGAGCUCUCCUGCCCCCCGCCAGGACCCCGCUCACGAACCAGAGCCCCCCGGGACCGGCUGGGCAGGGGGCACCGGGAGAUGCCCACCCUCCCAGGGAGGGAGGUUCCAGCAGUCUCCAUUGCCCUGCUGCAGUCAGACAUGUGCCCUCUUCCUCCUCCUCCUGCUCGUGCCUGCAGCAGAGCCAGGCCUGGUUGUGGGGACACUUCCCACUCAACCCCAGCUCUUCUCCUGCUUCCCCUGCCUCCAUCCCGGGCGUGGGAUCCAUCCUGGGCCUCUCAGCCAGCCCGGGGUCCAGUUCCCACUCGGAUGGGGUGUGUGGUUUGGUGGCAGGCAGCUCACACCCCUGCUCCACACAGCCUGGCCUCCUUGCACCACAGGGCUACGUGGCCAUGCUCAGGGCUCUAA